GCCUGGAUAGCUCAGCUGGUUAGAGCAUGGUGUUGAUAGUGCCAAGGUUGCAGGUUCAAUCCCCGUAUGGGACA
rnacentral:tRNA from 1 species